UACGUAGGGGUCUAGCGUUGUCCGGAAUUAUUGGGCGUAAAGAGCUCGUAGGCGGUUCGGCAAGUCGGAUGUGAAAUCUCCACGCUUAACGUGGAGGGGCCAUUCGAAACUGCCGUGACUCGAGUCCGGUGGGGGAGUGCGGAAUUCCCGGUGUAGCGGUGAAAUGCGCAGAUAUCUGGAGGAACACCGGUGGCGAAGGCGGCAUUCUGGACCGACAUUGACGCUGAGGAGCGAAAGCCAGGGGAGCAAACGGG
rnacentral:rRNA from 1 species